rnacentral:lncRNA from 1 species
AAAUUUCCUGAGCUCCUUUACUCUUCAGAGCUUCAUCCUUCCUAAGCUCCCUCUUGUUCCCAGCACCCACUGCCUUUAGCUGUAUAAUCCCUUUCCUUCGCUCUCCUCAAUGUGGGUCCCAUCAACCUAGAUCUCCUGUGCCAUGGGUCUCCUACACCAUAGGUCUCCUACACAAUGGGUGCCGUUUUCAGUUUAAACCAGCUUUUCCCCAGUUGCUGAGUUUGAUGACAAAGACAUUUCCUUCUGAUUCUUCUGUUUCCUCCCUUUUAGAGACAGCCCUGACAGAAGUGAUAGAAAAGUAUGUGCAUCUCUGUGAGAAGCUGCAGGAUAUAAAUUUUGCAUGUGAUAACUUGUCCAGUCCCUGUGAUUGUGCCAAGGCGAUGUCCUGCCUUGCUGAGGAUCUUGUUCACAGCAUCAGCAGGGAAUGUUUGUGAGCAAGGGCAGGAAAUGUUUGUGAGCAAGGGGAGUGUCAUGGCAGCAGAUCCAGCCAUCCUGACUGUCAGCAAACCCUUCUUACCAACUGCCCAUGCCCCAGUCCACAGUCCUUCUUCCAGAGCCCUCUCUUGCCGUCCUGCACCACGCAGUGACAGAACCUGAUGCUUCCAGCUUUCCUACAGACUGCUGCCUAGCAUCUCUCUGCAGAGCUGCUCUCCCUGCUUGACCAGGAAGCACUAUUGGGAUGCUCAGUGUGACAUGUCUUCUCUCCCCUGCUUCCACCCACAGGCGUUUGGAGGAUACCUCAGGCCUGCUGAGAGGAUGGACAUCAUCCUCACAGCUCUUGAACCGAUGGUUGACUCCAGCAUCUAUGCCAGGGAGGCAGCCUGCAGUGUGAUGGCUGUGGCCAUGGAAGACUACCCCUUCUGGAUACCAGAUAAAACCCAGAUCACAACCUCCAUCCACAAGAACUUGAGGAGCAUCGCCGCAAAGGCAGCGCGGCACUGCCUGAACUCCCUGCUCCUCCGUCUGACCAGCCAGAUGCCCAUGGAAGUAGUCAGGAACCUUCUGAAGUCCUCUGCACCUAGCAACAGGUGCCCUCCUGCUCACCCAGGGCGCUCUAAGCAAUGCGGGCUUGAAGGGUUCUAG